UCAGUUCGGAUCGGAGUCUGCAACCCGACUCCGUGAAGCUGGAUUCGCUAGUAAUCGCGCAUCAGCCAUGGCGCGGUGAAUACGUUCCCGGGCCUUGUACACACCGCCCGUCAAGCCAUGGGAGCCGGGGGUGCUUGAAGUGCGUCGCCGCAAGGCGCGCCCUAGAGCAAAACCGGUGACUGGGGCUAAGUCGUAACAAGGUACC
rnacentral:rRNA from 1 species